GCUAUGGAGAAGGGGACACCAAAGUGUAGACAAUAAUCCCAGUGCAACAGGGAAGCAUGGUCACAGAGAGGUGGUGCCCAGUGCAUUGGACAAAGGCGAGAGAAGACCAUUAUCGUUGCCCGGAGCAGAGAGGGCAUAUUGCCAGAAGAAUGAGUGCCUUUGGAGUUGUCAGAUGCCAGAUGAAGUCACGUGGUAACCACAAGGGGACUUUGUGCUGGUGCCUCGGCCUCAUGUUAAUGUUGCUUGGCGGGAGUAAGGCGAGUCGUCGUGGCCAAACUUCUGAGAGGUGGGAGAGGCCAAAUGUCUGACUGCCAAUUAAGCAGCAAGGUGGAAAAUCUUUGCCUUUCUUUUGGCUCAGUCCAUUUUCACUCUCAGGAAGAGAAUACAAAGGCAUCU